rnacentral:rRNA from 1 species
UCUACGGGAGGCAGCAGUGGGGAAUAUUGCACAAUGGAGGAAACUCUGAUGCAGCGACGCCGCGUGAGUGAAGAAGUAUUUCGGUAUGUAAAGCUCUAUCAGCAGGGAAGAAGACGACGGUACCUGACUAAGAAGCCCCGGCUAACUACGUGCCAGCAGCCGCGGUAAUA